rnacentral:lncRNA from 1 species
UGAGGAUGUGGAGCCCUUGUAGAGCACAGAGGAAUUCUGCUUCCUGGAAGAUGAAAUAGACCUUGCUCAGUUCAGAGGAAAUCAUGGACAUUCUCUUUAAAAGGAGAAGGGGAGUAGGAGACUACUAUAACUAUGAAAGGUAAAGGAAAAAAAGCAGAUUACUUGGGGACCUCAAAACUUGAGAACUGAGUGGUGAUUUUCUUGUAUAAUGUAGCCCACAUUUGGAGUUAAAAAAGUUAGAAACUGGAAAAUCCAAUGGAUGCUGCAUAAAAUCCCCCAGGAUAGUCUGCUCUGUCUAGCUAGAGAUCAAAACAGGGACCACUCAGUACAGAAAACUUUCAAUUAAUAGUGUCUGUAAUUCAUUCAAAUGUCAUAGGGAAAAACAUCUGGCCCCAUUCACACACCACAAUGGUCGAGGACUAAGCUGAGCCUCCAUCUUAUGAGGCCUCCUAAGGCACCUCCACCCCACUGAAGUGGUGUCAGAGAAGGCUGAGUGGGGAGCUAUGACUCCCAUCUCUGAGGACAAUAACAAGGCCUCACUUCCUGUUCAGUGUCCAUGGAGAUCUCCUUGGAGGCAUGGACUUUGGUUCCCACCUGAAAGUUGCAAGACGCUCUUCCUCUUCUACUUUUGGAGGACACUGUAAGAGGAUGUGGAGAGUCGGGACCACAAUCUUCACCAAGGCAGCACCCCUGCAGAAUCAGGAGGAUUUUGCGGACUACUGGGACCUCCCCACCACUCUUAGAAGUGCUGUAUUUGAAGGCAAAUUUCCAUCACGUAGUUUUUAAAAGGCUCCACAACUGGAAGCGAUGCACAGAGCCUGGAUACACUUACAGGUAAAAUCCAUGUUUGAUGCUACUGCGAUUUGCUCCAUUGACUUUUAGGAGAAACAUUUCUAGGUUUUUGGUUUUUUUUAAAUCUUCCUUUCUCACUGUUACCUUUAUGAGGGGCAGGUGGGCACUAAUUGCUCUAAAUGUUCAUUGGAAAAUUCAAUUUACUUUCUAUUUCCUGUGAGAUUUUAGUUCAUUAUCCACUCAGGUUUCCAAUUUUUACAUUUUCACAUGCUUGUUUUUUCCCACAUAUUUCUGCACCUUUACUCUUUCUCUAAUCGCAGGAAAACACAACUGCAGGAAUGUUAGAGCUGAGUCAUCAUUUGUGCGACAUUAAGGAAUAUUCUGGUAAUCACCUUAACGUAGCACUCCGCAGUACUGCUCAGAAGCCAGCGCAUUCCACAUAUCUCAUGCCCACAGAUAUUACCUAAACCUAAGAUCAAG